AUUGAACGCUGGCGGCAGGCUUAACACAUGCAAGUCGAACGAGUGGCGGACGGGUGAGUAAUGCUUGGGAAUCUAGCUUAUGGAGGGGGAUAACUACGGGAAACUGUAGCUAAUACCGCGUACCAUACGAUGAGCCGAAGUGGGAUUAGGUAGUUGGUGAGGUAAAGGCUCACCAAGCCGACGAUCUCUAGCUGGUCUGAGAGGAUGACCAGCCACACUGGGACUGAGACACGGCCCAGACUCCUACGGGAGGCAGCAGUGGGGAAUAUUGGGAAAUGGGGGCAACCUGACGCAGCCAUGCCGCGUGAAUGAAGAAGGCCUUCGGGUUGUAAAGGUCUUUCGGUAGAGAGGCGUUAUCUACAGAAGAAGCACCGGCUAACUCCGUGCCAGCAGCCGCGGUAAUAC
rnacentral:rRNA from 1 species